rnacentral:rRNA from 1 species
UAACACAUGCAAGUCGAACGAGAACGGAUGUUAGUUUACUAAAAUUGUCAGCUAAGUGGCGCACGGGUGAGUAAUAUAUAGUUAACCUGCCCCAAAGAAGAGAAUAAUUGAUGGAAACGUCUUGUAACUCUCUAUAUGCCUUUAUCACAUAAGUGAGCAAGGGAAACAUUUAUGGCUUUGGGAUGGGACUGUACGGUAUCAGAUAGUUGGUGAGGUAAUGGCUCACCAAGUCAAUGACGCCUAACUGGUUUGAGAGGAUGAUCAGUCACACUGGAACUGAGACACGGUCCAGACUCCUACGGGAGGCAGCAGUGGGGAAUAUUGCACAAUGGAGUAAACUCUGAUGCAGCAACGCCGCGUGGAGGAUGACACAUUUCGGUGCGUAAACUCCUUUUAUAUGAGAAGAUAAUGACGGUAUCAUAUGAAUAAGCACCGGCUAACUCCGUGCCAGCAGCCGCGGUAAUACGGGGGGUGCAAGCGUUACUCGGAAUCACUGGGCGUAAAGAGCAUGUAGGCU